rnacentral:rRNA from 1 species
AAAUUGAAGAGUUUGAUCAUGGCUCAGAUUGAACGCUGGCGGCAGGCCUAACACAUGCAAGUCGAACGGUAACAGGAAGCAGCUUGCUGCUUUGCUGACGAGUGGCGGACGGGUGAGUAAUGUCUGGGAAACUGCCUGAUGGAGGGGGAUAACUACUGGAAACGGUGGCUAAUACCGCAUAACGUCGCAAGACCAAAGAGGGGGACCUUCGGGCCUCUUGCCAUCAGAUGUGCCCAGAUGGGAUUAGCUUGUUGGUGAGGUAACGGCUCACCAAGGCGACGAUCCCUAGCUGGUCUGAGAGGAUGACCAGCCACACUGGAACUGAGACACGGUCCAGACUCCUACGGGAGGCAGCAGUGGGGAAUAUUGCACAAUGGGCGCAAGCCUGAUGCAGCCAUGCCGCGUGUAUGAAGAAGGCCUUCGGGUUGUAAAGUACUUUCAGCGGGGAGGAAGGGAGUAAGGUUAAUAACCUUAUUCAUUGACGUUACCCGCAGAAGAAGCACCGGCUAACUCCGUGCCAGCAGCCGCGGUAAUACGGAGGGUGCAAGCGUUAAUCGGAAUUACUGGGCGUAAAGCGCACGCAGGCGGUCUGUCAAGUCGGAUGUGAAAUCCCCGGGCUCAACCUGGGAA